rnacentral:rRNA from 1 species
UUUAUGGAGAGUUUGAUCUUGGCUCAGGACGAACGCUGGCGGCGUGCCUAAUACAUGCAAGUCGAGCGCAGGAAACAAGCUGAUCCCUUCGGGGUGACGCUUGUGGAAUGAGCGGCGGACGGGUGAGUAACACGUGGGCAACCUGCCUGUAAGACUGGGAUAACUCCGGGAAACCGGUGCUAAUACCGGAUAAUACUUUUAC